CAGGUAGUUGGUGGGGUAAAGGCCUACCAAGCCUGCGAUCUGUAGCUGGUCUGAGAGGACGAUCAGCCACACUGGGACUGAGACACGGCCCAGACUCCUACGGGAGGCAGCAGUGGGGAAUCUUGCGCAAUGGGCGAAAGCCUGACGCAGCCAUGCCGCGUGAGUGAAGAAGGUCUUAGGAUUGUAAAGCUCUUUCGCUCGUGACGAUGAUGACGGUAACGAGAGAAGAAGCCCCGGCUAACUUCGUGCCAGCAGCCGCGGUAAUACGAAGGGGGCUAGCGUUGUUCGGAAUUACUGGGCGUAAAGCGCGCGUAGGCGGUUUUGCAAGCCAGAGGUGAAAUGCCUGAGCUCAACUCAGGAAUGGCCUUUGGGACUGCGAGGCUUUGAGGACUGGAGAGGUGAGUGGAAUUCCCAGUGUAGAGGUGAAAUUCGUAGAUAUUGGGAAGAACACCGGUGGCGAAGGCGGCUCACUGGCCAGUUUCUGACGCUGCAGCGCGAAAGCGUGGGGAUCAAACAGGAUUAGAUACCCUGGUAGUCCACGCUGUAAACGAUGAGUGCUAGGCGUCGGCAUGCAUGCAUGUCGGUGCCGCAGCUAACGCGUGAAGCACUCCGCCUGGGGAGUACGGUCGCAAGAUUAAAACUCA
rnacentral:rRNA from 1 species